rnacentral:rRNA from 1 species
UUGAACGCUGGCGGCAGGCCUAACCCAUGCAAGUCGAACGGUAACAGGGAUCAGCUUGCUGAUUCGCUGACGAGUGGCGGACGGGUGAGUAAUGUCUGGGAAACUGCCUGAUGGAGGGGGAUAACUACUGGAAACGGUAGCUAAUACCGCAUAACGUCGCAAGACCAAAGAGGGGGACCUUCGGGCCUCUUGCCAUCGGAUGUGCCCAGAUGGGAUUAGCUAGUAGGUGGGGUAACGGCUCACCUAGGCGACGAUCCCUAGCUGGUCUGAGAGGAUGACCAGCCACACUGGAACUGAGACACGGUCCAGACUCCUACGGGAGGCAGCAGUGGGGAAUAUUGCACAAUGGGCGCAAGCCUGAUGCGGCCAUGCCGCGUGUAUGAAGAAGGCCUUCGGGUUGUAAAGUACUUUCAGCGGGGAGGAAGGGAGUAAAGUUAAUACCUUUGCUCAUUGACGUUACCCGCAGAAGAAGCACCGGCUAACUCCGUG